GACGAACGCUGGCGGCGUGCUUAACACAUGCAAGUCGAACGGAAAGGCCCUGCUUUUGUGGGGUGCUCGAGUGGCGAACGGGUGAGUAACACGUGAGUAACCUGCCCUUGACUUUGGGAUAACUUCAGGUAACUGGGGCUAAUCCCGUAUAGGAUCUCCUGCUGCAUGGUGGGGGUUGGAAAGUUUCGGCGGUUGGGGAUGGACUCGCGGCUUAUCAGCUUGUUGGUGGGGUAGUGGCUUACCAAGGCUUUGACGGGUAGCCGGCAUGAGAGGGUGAACGGCGACAUUGGGACUGAGAUACGGCCCAGACUCCUACGGGAGGCAGCAGUGGGGAAUAUUGCACAAUGGGCGGAAGCCUGAGGCAGAAACGUCGCGGGCGGGAUGACGGCCUUCGGGUUGUAAACCGCUUUCGCCUGUGACGAAGCGUGAGUGACGGUAAUGGGUAAAGAAGCACCGGCUAACUACGCG
rnacentral:rRNA from 1 species